AAGGCUGAUGAAUAUGAAGGAGCUGGAAGGAAUGCAGCCCAUGGAACAUGUUCCCCAAGAGGAAAGGGAAAAAGUGGGGCAGCAGAGAUGGAGGGACCUGGGGCUGUUGUAUGAGAGGAUCAGCAAGCUGAAGGAUCGUCUGGAAAGGAAGGAGGAAAGGCUGCGAGAGUAUGAGACCAGCAUUGAGCAGCUCAGGCUGAACCAAGAGUCCCUGCAAACGUGCCAGGAAGAGAUGCUGAGACUGGAAGAUGAAGUCUACAGGGAAGCAGAAGAGAAAGCUCUGCUGAGAGAGGCUCUGGAGAGGACGAGGGCAGAGCUGGGCCAGGAGAAGAGGCUGAACCGGGCAGCACGGCAGCGCAAGAGCCUUGCAGAGAAUGGGGAGAAGAGAAAGGAGAAGGAGCUGCCCAACCGUGCCUGCUCUUCCAAAGAACGAGGAGGGAAGCCUGGAGCCCAGCAGCCAUCCCUCUUGGUGAAGGUGAAGUCAAAGGAGCGCGUGGUGGGAGAGCUCCAGGCGAUGGGCAGCACAUAGGAUGUUCUGCUCACAGAGCUGUACAGCAAGGAAUGUGUGUUGGGGUUGGACAUGGCACCAUGUAGGCAUGCAUGUGGGGGGAAGAACACCUAUGUGAGUCCAUCCCACAGUGACCAGGAAUGCUGGAGGGACUGUGACGUGCCCAGGGCUGUGUGAUCCUGCAGGAUGUAUACCAUACAGGUUAGGGAAGUGGAAGAAGAAAGGUUAUGUGAAUACAGCCAGAAUGUGUGGGUGAAGCUGAUGGUGUCAAGUCUGAUUUCCGUGCCACGACGGCUCCUCCCUCCCCACAGCAUCAUUGGGGGGCACAGGGAGAAUAAAAGAAGUUGGAACAAGGCACUGACCAGGACGGCUGUGAGAUGGGAAGAAGGCAGAGAAGGAGCUGUGCUCACCCCACAGCUAUGUGGCAUUGGAACGUGUCUGGGGAGAGUGGGGCCGGGUCUGUGAUGAGUGGGGCAUGGCGCUCGUGGGCACCCAGUGGGGUGCGAUCCCAGCUCCUGCUGCAGGUUUUGGGGUCAGGUGCUGUCCUGUAGAUCUGAGCACGGUUGUGUUCAACUUUGGGACAACCCCUGGCCCCAAACGCUGUGGACACAGAGCUGGGAGCCCAUCCGUGCCCUUCACGCAGCCGUGUGCGGUGGCUUUGGGUUGGGCUGUGCCAUUCAUCUACCACCAAACAAUGCGUGGAGCUGAUGCUGGUGGGACCCUAAGGGGGGGACCCCUCGCAGGCUGACAUCCCCCGAGCCUGGAGGUGCUGGGGGUGCCCCGAGAAGACGCGUCCCCCCCCCUUUGCUAGGCGGCUGCUGGGGCGGAGCGGGGCGGAGCUGCGUCUGUUCGUCCAUCCAUCCAUCCAUCCGGGCACCAUGGCGGAGGAGCUGGCGGAGCGGCUGGGCCGGCGGUUGGGGAUGCG
rnacentral:lncRNA from 1 species